AGAAGUUGUCCAGGGCUCCCUGAGGGAGGCCAGCACAAGAGCUCUGCCAUAAAAGGACAUUGGACAGAAGUGAAGAGUCCAAUCAGAAACUCUUUUUGAGAGACUGAACGCAAAGCAUUCAGAGAGUCAGCAGGCUGGAGAGGCCAAGACACACACACGAAGAAGGCAGGACACUCUUCUCCUCCUGCGGUUGGACUCCAGGCUCUAUGACCUUCAAACUCCAGGACUUACACCAGUUGCCCCUGGGCACUCAGGACUUCUGCUUCAGACUGACAGUUGCAGGACAGUGCAGCAUUUUAUUUUAAAGAUACCCCACAACGUAGGUGGCCAGUCCUGCUGCAGGGCAGAUACGCUCCCUUGAUUCUGAGGUCUUUGAACUUGCUGUGAAGCCACACUACCUGCGUCCCAGGGUCUCCAGCUUGCAGAUGGACUGUGGUGGGACUUCUCAGUCACCAAGAUUGAGAGCUGUACUAGCCUGGCAUGCAGACAGCAGCUUUAGAAUCAGAUCUGCCUUCUGGCGGCUUCCCACCUAGGAGCCAUGGGACCUUUGUGAAGUCACCAAUUGUGCUGUGGAUGCUUCAUUUGUGAAGGAGAACAGGACUGCCUUGUGAAAUUACGGAUGGUGCUACUAAAACAUAUCAAUAAUUUGAAUUUCACUUUUGUGGAUGCUUUAAACAUCAUAGUCAUUAGAAGGUGGAUCUGGCUGAUUGUACUUUAAGUUUUCAGUUUGAGCUGGAGCUUUGUAUUAUAACAGGAGGGUACUGGACAAGAUGAGGAAACUGAGGUACAGAUGGGAAACUUGCUCAAGUUCACACAGCAAUUAAGUGAUCAAGUCCAAGAGCAAAACCAGGCAGGCUGGCUCCAGAGCUCACGAUAGUCCACCACUGCUUUCCACCAUCACUACGGAAUCAAGUCCAUGAGGAUACUCACCUUAUGUCAGUUGCCUAAGUUGGAAAUUAUAGAAUCUUCAAAUUGGAAGGGACGUUAUCAUCCAAGAUUUCAACUUUCUACUCACUGCAAAAUCCCUUCUGGAACUUCCCAGAUUGAUGAAUUUUCAUCAGCUCUGCUUGAGUACUCCCAGUGACUUGGAAAAAAAACACUGUAAUAUGGAUAUGAAAUAUAAACUGUUCAUGGAUAAAUUAUUGCAUAAUAAAAACAUGCCUAAUGGCUACACUCCCCUAA
rnacentral:lncRNA from 10 species